GCUAUAUCGGACAAAUUUAUGAAAACAAAAUGUCGGGUUUUGGUCUUAAUUUAAGGUUAUGGUUAGGCAUAAAGUGAGCAAUGUGGUAAAGGUUAGGACUGAAAUUAGGUUUAGCUGUAAAAAUCUGCUUUUAAGAAGAUAGAUUGUAGAAAUGGGCGGGGUUUAUGAGUUUGUGGCUGUGGUAGCUAGUGUCGACCAUCCCGAACCGAACUGGAGUUAGUGGUUUUCAGGAAAGAACACGCAUAGGAUUUCAUAAUGACAGAGCGGGUCAACAACUUCCCACUGCUGCCUAAGUUCCUGCGAAUCAAGCCCUGCUUUUACCAGAAUGUGGAGGAGGAGAUCCCAGCCCCGCACCGACAGCUGGUGCGCAGGGUCUACAACCUCUGGAUGUUGUAUUCAGUCACACUGUGUGUGAACGUGGUGUCAUGCAUAGCUUGGUGGGCAGGAGGGGGAAGUGCAGCCAAUUUUGGCCUUUCCCUGCUCUGGCUUCUUCUCUUCAGUCCGUGCAGCUACACAUGCUGGUUUAGACCUCUCUACAAGGCCUUUCGUGUGUUUUCGCUCUCAUUCAGACUGUGGGCAUCUCUGGUUGGGGUGCUUGGUAAGUAUGGAUAUUUUAUUUCCUCAAGCCUGGAAGGGACUGUCUAGGACUUUGGCUGCUAUAUCUGAAUGGCUUGUGUUUCACUUACCUCAGGAAUAUAGAAAAAUCUUCAGUUUGGCAAUAAAGAUCACCUGUAGAGUAUGUAUCAAUGCCACCUUAAUUUUACUCACCUCAGUGUCAUGCUGUGAUAGGUGAAUAACUACGGUUGAUGUAAUCCAGUAUUCAUGCCAUUGACAAAUACUAACCCCACUGCUCCACCACAAACCCCCAAAGUGGUUGGAUCGCGACAGUGCUGUUUUUCAGUUACAACGUGGGUUCUGCUGUAGUCAUGCUAUUCUCAGCUCUGCUCUUUACUCUGGUGACUGUGUUGAUGGGAUUGGUUCUCAUCAGGGUGAGUCCAACGUGCGCGCACACACACACCUGAAAAAUGCACGAGCACCCGGAAACACAUACACAAACCAGAAAAAAUACCCCCCGCCGUUUUGACAAUUAUCAUUGUAGGCAAGGAAAGAUAAUUAACUUUCAUGACUGUAUGACUGGUUGGUUUAUCUGCUCUGCUUCUAUCAGGUUCAUGGGAUGUACCGUGGCGGAGGGGGCAGCUUUGAGCGUGCACAGGAAGAGUGGACCACUGGACUCUGGAAGAGUGCCCCUGUGAGAGAGGCCGGCUUCAAUGCUAUCAAUGAAACUGGCCCAAGCCUACCCCAAUACCCCGCUGUGCCAAGCUACCCAGACAAUGGCCCCUGGUAAAUAAAACCCUAAGUGGACUCUAGAUGGAGACGGAGCACUUUAUUCCAUGGCAUGCAAGAUAGUCCACCACGCCACACUAGUACAAUCUCACCUUGACACUAUAUGAAAUGCAUAGCUGGAAUUUAAGUAAGAAUGUUAAGGGGAAAAAAGGCAUAAUUAGCUGACUUUAUUCAGCAGUACUUUGUUUUAGACCUUAAGAGGCCACUGUUAUAGACAUUGUUUACUGGAGUGGGAAGCUUUUCCAGGGAAACACAUCUAAGCCUUAUAUUGUUGGAAAAAUGUGUGAUGGAGAUUCAAAAUAUGAUCCAUUACAUGUUUACAUUUAUUUUCUACUCUCAAAAUAUUAAUCUGUUCCCUCAUAUUUGAAAGAGCGACUGGAGAAAAUGUUUAUUUUUAUUUUGUACUUGGAGAGCUAGGGGUCUUUAUAUUACAGUAGCAGAAUUAAUACUGUUCAACAAAAUUGAUAUGUCUGAAACAGAAAAGAAGCAAGGUGAUUCCAAAGUUGUUUUUGGAUCAAUUUUGGCAGCCAUAUUCGGUGAUCAAUUCUUGCCAGUACAAUACUGUACUUCAUGAAAUCAACAAAAGCCUUAACACUACUUGACAUGACUGAAGGAUCAGGGUCCUCUCCUUGAAGUUGGAUGUUUAUAUAGUGCAUUUUUUAUUUAGUGAUGAGAUGUAUUUAGUUUUUUAUUGAUAUUACAAGUGUUUGUUUUUGAUACCUUUUCUUCUUGCUUGAUCUGCUUUUGCCUUGUUUCUGAAAACUAAAUGCGCCUUAAUCGUACAUGAGGUAUUUGCAUGUUAAUUAUUUUCCCCCCCUUGACUGUCGCCUUAAGUGCUGCUACUAGACAAAGCCAAUGAGAAAUGUGCUUAAACACAUCACUAAUGCUAGAUACUGUAUCCUUCUAAUUCAACCUGAGCCUUUUAUAUUUCACUCAUCCUGUGGAGUGCACUGAUCUUUCUUUGCUUUUGAUGGUCAGUGCCCUGUUGUAAUACCCCUUCUCUCUAGCCAGUGCUCCAAAACAGCUCAUCUCAGUCAGUGUGUUCCAGGCUGGAGCUUUGUGUUUACAAUGUGGUUGGGAGAGCGGCAGCCACUCAUCUUGAAUAGAAAAAUCAAAUAAUAAGUUAAGUCACAUACUCAAGUGUUCAUCGCCAGGGUUAACUACCAUAGAGGUUUAUUUUUAAUUUUUGUUUGCUUUGUAUUGCUUGUCUGUAAUGCAUGUCAUUCUGUAGUGAAUAUUUAGAAGACAUUCUUGAAAAUGCUUAAAAUGUGUUGCUGCAAUGACUAAGCCUAGCACGAACCACCCUGAUCUUGCAAGCUUUCAUUCUGUUUCGCUACACAGAUACUGUGUCCGUGGAGUGAAACAGAAUGUAAGCUUGCGAGAUCAGGAUGGGUCGUACGAGACUAGCAAUGACUCACUACCAUAAACAUUUCAAUCAAA